rnacentral:tRNA from 1 species
GGUCCCUUGGCCCAGUUGGUUAAGGCGUGGUGCUAAUACAACGCCAAGAUCAGCAGUUCGAUCCUGCUAGGGACCA